rnacentral:rRNA from 1 species
UAGGGAAUCUUCCGCAAUGGACGCAAGUCUGACGGAGCAACGCCGCGUGAGUGAAGAAGGAUUUCGGUUCGUAAAACUCUGUUGUUAGAGAAGAACAGCGCAUAGAGUAACUGUUAUGCGUGUGACGGUAUCUAACCAGAAAGCCCCGGCUAACUACGUGCCAGCAGCCGCGGUAAUACGUAGGGGGCUAGCGUUGUCCGGAAUCACUGGGCGUAAAGGGUUCGCAGGCGGAAAUGCAAGUCAGGUGUAAAAGGCAGUAGCUUAACUACUGUAAGCAUUUGAAACUGCAUAUCUUGAGAAGAGUAGAGGUAAGUGGAAUUUUUAGUGUAGCGGUGAAAUGCGUAGAUAUUAAAAAGAAUACCGGUGGCGAAGGCGACUUACUGGGCUCAUUCUGACGCUGAGGAACGAAAGCGUGGGUAGCAAACAGG